GUCUAUGGUCAUGCCACCCUGAACACACCCCAUCUCGUCUGAUCUCAGAAGCUAAGCAAGGUCGAGCCUGGUCAGCACUUGGGUGGGAGACCACCUAAGAAGACCAGGUGCUGUAGGCA
rnacentral:rRNA from 1 species